rnacentral:rRNA from 1 species
GAGUUUGAUCAUGGCUCAGGACGAACGCUGGCGGCGUGCCUAAUACAUGCAAGUCGAGCGGAGUUGAAUAAGUGCUUGCACUAAUUCAACUUAGCGGCGAACGGGUGAGUAACACGUAAAGAACCUGCCUCAUAGACUGGGACAACUACUGGAAACGGUAGCUAAUACCGGAUAACAUAUUUUUCUGCAUGGAAGAAUAUUGAAAGUCGGUCAUGCUGACACUAUGAGAUGGCUUUGCGGUGCAUUAGCUAGUUGGUAGGGUAAAGGCCUACCAAGGCGACGAUGCAUAGCCGACCUGAGAGAGUGAUCGGCCACACUGGGACUGAGACACGGCCCAGACUCCUACGGGAGGCAGCAGUAGGGAAUCUUCCGCAAUGGACGAAAGUCUGACGGAGCAACGCCGCGUGAGUGAAGAAGGAUUUCGGUUCGUAAAACUCUGUUGUUAGGGAAGAAUGAUUGUAUAGUAACUAUAUACAGUAGAGACG